GGGGAGUAUGUUCGCAAGAAUGAAACUCAAAGGAAUUGUUGGGGACCUGCACAAGCAGUGGAGCAUGUGGUUUAAUUUGAUGCAAUGCGAAGAAUCUUACGAGGGCUUGACAUGCCACGAAUCCUCUUGAAGGAGAGGGGUGCCUUCAAGAACGUGGGCACAGGUGGUGUAUGGCUGUUGCCAGCUCGUGUCGUAAGGUGUUGGGUUAAGUCCCGCAACGAUCGCAAUGCUCGAACCCUGAACAGACUGUCGAUGAUAAGUUAGAAGAAGGUGAGGAUGACGUCAAGUCAUCAUGCCUCUUAUGCCCUGGGCGACACAGUGCUACAAUGGCCAGGACAAAGAAGCCAGAAUUGAUUUUCCUUGAUACCUAACAUAAUGUAUGAAAGGAUCCUUGAACAAGCAUAGAUUAGUUGAAAAUCCUUAACAAAGACGUCUACAAGACGUUCUA
rnacentral:rRNA from 1 species